AGAUGCAGAAGAUUUGAACAAUUUCAUCAUUCCUGGUGGUGUCUGCCACAAUUGGGUCGCUGUGGAUGUUCCUACGGUCAUUCAUAAGUCAGCAUGAUUUGUUCACUUUGUUUAAAACCCUUCUCCCAUGCCAAAAGGAGAAGUGAUGACAUUGUUGGCAAAGCAUUUUAAUACAAUGAUGUUUUCAUUCAAUUAAUGCAUUGUUAAACAUUUGUUUUUCCUUUGUUUUCACUUUUUGCUUUUCUUCAUGAAAUCAGUGAUCACAAAAAACCCAUGAAAAACGAAAACAGCUUUUUCAUCUGCAUAACUGAUUUGCUUGUUUAAAUUCAAAAGCUUUUCAUUAUCCAGAAUCAUUAUGCAGGGAUUUCUAAACCCAUUGAACAUAAUGAUCCAACACCAUCUCCCAAUCUUGAAUUCUUUGUAUUUGAGGUAGAGGAAGAUGAUGUUAAAGGGAAUUCCUAAUGAGAUUUCCUAUCCUUCUUGAGCACAAGAGGAGCUCAUUCAGCUGUAUCAUGAGAAUCAG
rnacentral:lncRNA from 1 species